GACGAACGCUGGCGGCGUGCUUAACACAUGCAAGUCGAACGGAAAGGCCCUGCUUUUGUGGGGUGCUCGAGUGGCGAACGGGUGAGUAACACGUGAGUAACCUGCCCUUGACUUUGGGAUAACUUCAGGAAACUGGGGCUAAUACCGGAUAGGAGCUCCUGCUGCAUGGUGGGGGUUGGAAAGUUUCGGCGGUUGGGGAUGGACUCGCGGCUUAUCAGCUUGUUGGUGGGGUAGUGGCUUACCAAGGCUUUGACGGGUAGCCGGCCUGAGAGGGGGACCGGCCACAUUGGGACUGAGAUACGGCCCAGACUCCUACGGGAGGCAGCAGUGGGGAAUAUUGCACAAUGGGCGGAAGCCUGAUGCAGCAACGCCGCGUGCGGGAUGACGGCCUUCGGGUUGUAAACCGCUUUCGCCUGUGACGAAGCGUGAGUGACGGUAAUGGGUAAAGAAGCACCGGCUAACUACGU
rnacentral:rRNA from 1 species